UGUAGUCCUAUUCUGUAUAUUUCUUUCAGAGUUGCAUUAUGAUCAUCAAGUCCUUCUUGAUUACCUAAUAUCUAAAGAUAUCGGGGCUAGCUGUGCAGAGUACCUGCUGAGAUGUUUGCGGGCUGUCUGUGAUUCAUGGACC